UACGUAGGGUGCGAGCGUUGUCCGGAAUUAUUGGGCGUAAAGAGCUCGUAGGCGGUUCGUCGCGUCGAAUGUGAAAACCCGGGGCUCAACUCCGGGCUUGCAUUCGAUACGGGCGGACUAGAGUUCGGUAGGGGAGACUGGAAUUCCUGGUGUAGCGGUGAAAUGCGCAGAUAUCAGGAGGAACACCGGUGGCGAAGGCGGGUCUCUGGGCCGAUACUGACGCUGAGGAGCGAAAGCCAGGGGAGCGAACGGG
rnacentral:rRNA from 1 species